rnacentral:rRNA from 1 species
UGUGAACUCGAAGAGUAGGGCGGGACACGUGGUAUCCUGUCUGAAUAUGGGGGGACCAUCCUCCAAGGCUAAAUACUCCUGACUGACCGAUAGUGAACCAGUACCGUGAGGGAAAGGCGAAAAGAACCCCGGCGAGGGGAGUGAAAAAGAACCUGAAACCGUGUACGUACAAGCAGUGGGAGCACCUUCGGGUGUGACUGCGUACCUUUUGUAUAAUGGGUCAGCGACUUAUAUUCUGUAGCAAGGUUAACCGUAUAGGGGAGCCGCAGGGAAACCGAGUCUUAACUGGGCGUUAAGUUGCAGGGUAUAGACCCGAAACCCGGUGAUCUAGCCAUGGGCAGGUUGAAGGUUGGGUAACACUAACUGGAGGACCGAACCGACUAAUGUUGAAAAAUUAGCGGAUGACUUGUGGCUGGGGGUGAAAGGCCAAUCAAACCGGGAGAUAGCUGGUUCUCCCCGAAAGCUAUUUAGGUAGCGCCUCGUGAACUCAUCUUCGGGGGUAGAGCACUGUUUCGGCUAGGGGGUCAUCCCGACUUACCAACCCGAUGCAAACUACGAAUACCGAAGAAUGUUAUCACGGGAGACACACGGCGGGUGCUAACGUCCGUCGUGAAGAGGGAAACAACCCAGACCGCCAGCUAAGGUCCCAAAGUCAUGGUUAAGUGGGAAACGAUGUGGGAAGGCACAGACAGCCAGGAUGUUGGCUUAGAAGCAGCCAUCAUUUAAAGAAAGCGUAAUAGCUCACUGGUCGAGUCGGCCUGCGCGGAAGAUGUAACGGGGCUAAACCAUGCACCGAAGCUGCGGCAGCGACACUAUGUGUUGUUGGGUAGGGGAGCGUUCUGUAAGCCUGCGAAGGUGACCUGUGAGGGUUGCUGGAGGUAUCAGAAGUGCGAAUGCUGACAUAAGUAACGAUAAAGCGGGUGAAAAGCCCGCUCGCCGGAAGACCAAGGGUUCCUGUCCAACGUUAAUCGGGGCAGGGUGAGUCGACCCCUAAGGCGAGGCCGAAAGGCGUAGUCGAUGGGAAACAGGUUAAUAUUCCUGUACUUGGUGUUACUGCGAAGGGGGGACGGAGAAGGCUAUGUUAGCCGGGCGACGGUUGUCCCGGUUUAAGCAUGUAGGCUGGUUGUCCAGGCAAAUCCGGAUAAUCAAGGCUGAGGUGUGAUGACGAGGCACUACGGUGCUGAAGUAACAAAUGCCCUGCUUCCAGGAAAAGCCUCUAAGCAUCAGGUAACAUUAAAUCGUACCCCAAACCGACACAGGUGGUCAGGUAGAGAAUACCAAGGCGCUUGAGAGAACUCGGGUGAAGGAACUAGGCAAAAUGGUGCCGUAACUUCGGGAGAAGGCACGCUGGUGUGUAGGUGAAGUCCCUGCGGAUGGAGCUGAGACCAGUCGAAGAUACCAGCUGGCUGCAACUGUUUAUUAAAAACACAGCACUGUGCAAACACGAAAGUGGACGUAUACGGUGUGACGCCUGCCCGGUGCCGGAAGGUUAAUUGAUGGGGUUAUCCGUAAGGAGAAGCUCUUGAUCGAAGCCCCGGUAAACGGCGGCCGUAACUAUAACGGUCCUAAGGUAGCGAAAUUCCUUGUCGGGUAAGUUCCGACCUGCACGAAUGGCGUAAUGAUGGCCAGGCUGUCUCCACCCGAGACUCAGUGAAAUUGAACUCGCUGUGAAGAUGCAGUGUACCCGCGGCAAGACGGAAAGACCCCGUGAACCUUUACUAUAGCUUGACACUGAACAUUGAGCCUUGAUGUGUAGGAUAGGUGGGAGGCUUUGAAGCGUGGACGCCAGUCUGCGUGGAGCCAACCUUGAAAUACCACCCUUUAAUGUUUGAUGUUCUAACGUUGGCCCCUGACCGGGGUUGCGGACAGUGUCUGGUGGGUAGUUUGACUGGGGCGGUCUCCUCCCAAAGCGUAACGGAGGAGCACGAAGGUUAGCUAAUCCUGGUCGGACAUCAGGAGGUUAGUGCAAUGGCAUAAGCUAGCUUGACUGCGAGCGUGACGGCGCGAGCAGGUGCGAAAGCAGGUCAUAGUGAUCCGGUGGUUCUGAAUGGAAGGGCCAUCGCUCAACGGAUAAAAGGUACUCCGGGGAUAACAGGCUGAUACCGCCCAAGAGUUCAUAUCGACGGCGGUGUUUGGCACCUCGAUGUCGGCUCAUCACAUCCUGGGGCUGAAGUAGGUCCCAAGGGUAUGGCUGUUCGCCAUUUAAAGUGGUACGCGAGCUGGGUUUAGAACGUCGUGAGACAGUUCGGUCCCUAUCUGCCGUGGGCGCUGGAGAAUUGAGGGGGGCUGCUCCUAGUACGAGAGGACCGGAGUGGACGCAUCACUGGUGUUCGGGUUGUCAUGCCAAUGGCACUGCCCGGUAGCUAAAUGCGGAAGAGAUAAGUGCUGAAAGCAUCUAAGCACGAAACUUGCCCCGAGAUGAGUUCUCCCUGAGACUUUAAGUCUCCUGAAGGAACGUUAAAGACGAUGACGUUGAUAGGCCGGGUGUGUAAGCGCAGCGAUGCGUUGAGCUAACCGGUACUAAUGAACCGUGAGGCUUAACCUUACAACGCCGAAG